UUUUCAUGUUUAUUGAACUAUUUAAAAUCAGUCGUCUUCCUGUUCGAAAGUUGUAUUGCCCCCAAAGUAAGUUCUAAAACUAUGGCGGCAUGCCUCCAGGGAUAAGGACGCCAAAGAAUUUAAACGAGUCAAAUGGGAGUUAGAAAACCUUGCCAAAACCUGCAGAAAUCUUCAAAUUAAACUUGGCAGGACUCAGGCUAAAGCCACUAGACUCAGAUUGGAGAAAGAAGAACUGGAAGAGAAGAAGGUUGAAACAACAAUGUGGAAAACUACCGCAUUUCUAGCCGCAGCACUGGUUGCUGGUAUUCAUCUUCUCUCAGGAAAGCUGAAAUAAUAUGUCAGAGGGAGGAAGAAGUCGAAUAAUAGUCUUGUGAUUAAGUUUUUUAAUGUUGGGUCAGAUUUAGUAGACCUUAGAAGAGGUGGAAAUUUUUGUUUACAUUCUUAUGACGUAUUAGGACAGUUCUAGAACAAGUUACGUUGUAAACAAACAACAUUCAGUAAACAGUAAUAUCCCAGAACUACCUGGCUUUGUUUAUAAUCUUUGUGAUUGUUUACAAUAGAACCAGUGCCUUAGAUGUCCAAACUUAAAAUGUCAACAAAUCCUUUCCCCUUUUCAAGCUCUUCUUAAAAUACACGAUUCUAACAUUAAUGUGUUGAUAAUAUCCAAAUAGAUUAUCAAGUACAAUAGGUGGCAACAGAGAAAUGGACCAAUUAUACACGACGUCACAAGUGCCAAAUA